rnacentral:rRNA from 1 species
AUUGAACGCUGGCGGCAGGCCUAACACAUGCAAGUCGGACGGUAGCACAGAGGAGCUUGCUCCUCGGGUGACGAGCGGCGGACGGGUGAGUAAUGUCUGGGGAUCGGCCCGAUAGAGGGGGCUAACCACUGGAAACGGAGGCUAAUACCGCAUAACGUCGCCAGACCAAAGAGGGGGACCUUCGGGCCUCUCACUAUCGGAUGAACCCAGAUGGGAUUAGCUAGUAGGCGGGGUAACGGCCCACCUAGGCGACGGUCCCUAGCGGGUCUGAGAGGAUGACCAGCCACACUGGAACUGAGACACGGUCCCGACUCCUACGGGAGGCAGCAGUGGGGAAUAUUGCACAAUGGGCGCAAGCCUGAUGCAGCCAUGCCGCGUGUAUGAAGAAGGCCUUCGGGUUGUAAAGUACUUUCAGCGGGGAGGAAGGCGAUGUGGUUAAUAACCGCAUUGAUUGACGUUACCCGCAGAAGAAGCACCGGCUAACUCCGUGCCAGCAGCCGCCGUAA